rnacentral:rRNA from 1 species
UUUAAAGUCCAUAUCACGUUGAAUACACCGGUUUUCGUCCGAUCACCGAAGUUAAGCAACGUCGGGCGCAGUCAGUACUUGGAUGGGUGACCGCCGGCGCCAGGGAACGCCGCGUGACAUUGGAU